rnacentral:lncRNA from 1 species
UCAAAAAAUAUGGCCUUUUAUUGUCUUGGAUGCAAAUAUAGUUUUCAAACUGCAUUGUAGUGUUGAAUACAGCUGGUGGAAAGGUGCUUCUCAACAGCGGAGCAUAAACAGCCUUGCUCUGGAUGGCGCAGGCCUGAGGCUUGGGGCCUCCGGUGAGCAAGACUCUUCUUGGGUUUUGUUUUUCUGCCCACGAGGGGUGACUGUUUGCUACAGAAGCCCUGACACAGUCACCGGAGCUCACAAGAGAAAAAAAUGAACCAUUUACACAAUGAACUGAAAGCAGAAAAAGGAAAAGAACGUGCUGUUUCAGCUGUGGCGUUACAGAAGAAGCCCACAAACACGAGUGUGAACAGAUUCAGAUAAAGCAGCAGCAAGGGCGCCGAGGGAGGGGCCUCGUGCCAGUUCCCUCGGGGACACACAGCCUCGGCUCCAUGUCUCCUACCUUUUAACUGCAGGAAGGAAACUUUAUGGAAAUGUAUCGAACUUCAGUUUCUCCCAACCCUCUCCACCACCUCAACUCUUGAGGAUGGCACCUCUCUGUUCACAUACCCAGGAGAGAAUUCUUCCAAUUAGCGACACCCAGGGUUGACUCUGGAACCAAAAGGUUGACUGGGAGAUAAAAGCGAAUUUUGCUACAUAAUUGUCAAGGUAUUUCACAAAAAUAAAAUCCAUUAAAAACACCCACAAACACGCACACACACACACACACACAGAGCCAACAUUCAACAGGAAAAGUUCCCUUUUCUUUCUCAAAGGCUGAUUUUUACAAGCCUCGACAGGAACGGCCCCCACGUGGUGAGCUGGGAAAGCCAAGGCCUCAAAAGGGAAAGACAAUGGGGCAGGUGAUGGAGGGGAUGUGGUGAAAAUCUUUAAUAUACAAGGCAUCAGGGACAUCGAGCCAAAAACCAUGGCCCACCACUGCUGCGCACCCACCUCAGGGCUCGCCAGCUCCCUUCCUCGUUGUCAAGGCCACUGCAGAGGAAGCACUUUGCAAAGUGGCUCCGACAAGCAGCAGACCGGGCGGGUUUCACCUGCAGCAAAUCAAUCAGCGGAAGCAAGGCAUCUCUAGGGAAAGGCAAUUCCUCCACCAGAGAGAGGAGAGCAGCUAUACUCAGCUUAGUUAGGGGCCUGGGGCCGUGAGAGAGACAAAAGACGCAGGCAGAGCUAGAUGACCAUGGGAGGGGAAGAGCAUAGGGGUGCUGUGCCAAGGCUGCC